rnacentral:lncRNA from 1 species
AUGCCUGGUUUGUCUGUGCAUGUUGAAUGGGGGAUGGAUGGACAUUACACCUGUACCUGUUUGUUGUGUACUAUUUCUAGUGGCUUUGUCUUGUCCUCUACGCAUAAUGUCUCAUCCAGAGAUUGUUUACAUUGGCUUUUUCUGGUUUCUGUGAUUUGCAAUGCUGAACAGGUGUCUAAGCAAAAAGCUCCUCCUCUGAGGGGUUUUCAUCUCUGUGCCCUGACCCGUGUCUCUGCUCCUGCCUGAUCCAGUUCCGAGAGGUAGACCUUGAUUUGGUAGUGUAUUCAAUUUUCAAACUUCCCCAAGGCCAGAAAGUCAUGGAAUCACAUAGGUAUAUACUUGGCUUAAUCUAUUUCCAAUACAAAAUCCAUGAUGGGCGGUGCCUUGGAGAAAGCUCUUUGCAUAAUUAGAGCUGCACGCCCCAUUUGCUAAGGGAGUAGAAGGAGAAAUUUGCUGAUUUGCCCACGAGGUUGUUCUCAACUCUUGUUUUCACAUUUAGCUUUCUGUCUUUCCCACCCCUGAAGUUCCCAAUUUGGCCUGAAUACAUUUUGAAUUAUAACAAAUAUCUUGAUACUCACACCCCAUGAAUGAGGGCAGAGCGCAGGGGGCAACUCCUGGCUAUGUUCCUGCACUGAAUUUAAUUUUUCAUUGAUAAUUAGACUCUCAGAGCCACCUGAUAUUUUUGACCAGCGGGAAACAAAGGCCCACUGAUUGACUCCAGGGAUAGAUGCAAGCAGCCCCCACUGUGCUCACACAGAAGCUUCGCAAAGACUCAAAACAAGAGCUGUGGCAAAUCGGCUCAUCUGGCAAGUUUUGACUGGCCCAUGGUGUACAAGUAGUAAAUUGAGAACUGAUAUUUCUGAGAAUUAUUUAUUAGCAAAGCCCAGUGUCUUGCUCCCCUUGUAGUUAUUCUUUGCAAACAGCUUUUUACCAGUUUGGAUGAGCAAACUACAGCACUUCAUCAUUUUUCUUUUAUUCAGAUAAUUAUUAACAGACAGCCGAGGUCUGUUCAGACUGGCAGCAGACUGCAACUGUACCCAGCUGGGCUGAUACCUUAACAGUUAGGCAUUAUGUGUUUAAUUGUAUAAAAAGAUAAUGGGAUGCAUUUGCAGGAAUUUAUUGCAAUGCAAACAAUAAAAGAUUAUUAUUUUGAGAUUCAUUUCUGGUGCUUUUUCUGUUGUUAAAAUUCUAAAUAAAGGUGUCAUGGUGACAGUUUCUAGUGGAGUGACCAGUUGUAAGCAUU